ACCAGCAUGGCGUAGUGGUUUGAGUGCUGGAUUAUGACUCUGGAGACAGGGUUCGAAUCCCAGCUUGGCCGUG